rnacentral:rRNA from 1 species
GGGGGCCUACGGGAGGCAGCAGUAAGGAAUUGUUCGCAAUGGGCGAAAGCCUGACGAAGCAACGCCGCGUGGAGGACGAAGGUCUUCGGGUCGUAAACUCCUGUCAAGAGGGAAGAACAUCGCAGGGGUUAAUACCCUCUGCGCUUGACGGUACCUUUGAAGGAAGCCCCGGCUAACUCCGUGCCAGCAGCCGCGGUAAUACGGGGGGGGCAAGCGUUGUUCGGAAUUAUUGGGCGUAAAGGGCUCGUAGGCGGCCAUGCAAGUCAAAGGUGAAAUCCCUCGGCUCAACCGGGGAACUGCGUCCGAUACUGCCAGGCUUGAAUUCGGGAGAGGGAAGCGGAAUUCCCAGUGUAGCGGUGAAAUGCGUAGAUAUUGGGAGGAACACCCGUGGCGAAGGCGGCUUCCUGGACCGGUAUUGACGCUGAGGCGCGAAAGCUAGGGGAGCAAACGGGAUUAGAUACCCCGGUAGUCCUAGCCCUAAACGA